rnacentral:rRNA from 1 species
UAGCCUUUAGCCCAACAAGUAUUAAAGGUCCUGCCUGCCCAGUGAACACAUUAAACGGCCGCGGUAUCCUAACCGUGCAAAGGUAGCGUAAUCACUUGUCCCCUAAAUAGAGACCAGUAUGAACGGCUAAAUGAGGGCCCGCCUGUCUCCUUUGGUCCCCCAAUGAAACUGAUCUGCUAGUCCAAAAGCUAGAAUAAACACACAAGACGAGAAGACCCUGUGGAGCUUAAAACACACCAGCCACCCGCAACCCGCCCAAUGGCACCUGUUUUUAGUUGGGGCAACUAUGGAGCAAACAAAACCUCCACGAACCAGACUAACCGUCACGACAGGCCCACACGCCAGAAACUGACCCAGUACCACUGAUCAACGAACCAAGUUACCCCAGGGAUAACAGCGCCAUCCCCUUAAAGAGUCCAUAUCGCCAAGGGGGCUUACGACCUCGAUGUUGGAUCAGGACCCCCCGGCGGCGCAGUCGCUGCCAACGGUUCGUUUGUUCAACGAUUAAAGUCCUACGUGAUCU